rnacentral:rRNA from 1 species
CCUAACACAUGCAAGUGGAGCGGGGUGACUAAAGAAGAUUCUUCGGAUGACGCUUUAUGAACCUAGCGGCGGACGGGUGAGUAACGCGUGGGAAACCUGCCCUAUACAGGGGGAUAGCCUCGGGAAACCGGGAUUAAUACCCCAUAACACUUAUUGAUCGCAUGAUCUUUAAGUCAAAACUCCGGUGGUAUAGGAUGGUCCCGCGUCCCAUUAGCUAGUUGGUGAGGUAACAGCUCACCAAGGCAACGAUGGGUAGCCGGCCUGAGAGGGUGAUCGGCCACACUGGAACUGAGACACGGUCCAGACUCCUACGGGAGGCAGCAGUGGGGAAUAUUGCACAAUGGGGGAAACCCUGAUGCAGCGAUGCCGCGUGAGCGAUGAAGGUCUUCGGAUCGUAAAGCUCUGUCCUUAGGGAAGAAUAUUGACGGUACCUAAGGAGGAAGCCCCGGCUAACUACGUGCCAGCAGCCGCGGUAAUACGUAGGGGGCGAGCGUUGUCCGGAAUCACUGGGCGUAAAGGGAGCGUAGGCGGCUCUGUAAGUCAGAUGUUAAAGGCAUUGGCUCAACCAAUGUAAGCAUUUGAAACUGCAGGGCUUGAGUACAGGAGAGGAGAGUGGAAUUCCUAGUGUAGCGGUGAAAUGCGUAGAUAUUAGGAGGAACACCAGUGGCGAAGGCGACUCUCUGGACUGUUACUGACGC